UACGUAGGUGGCGAGCGUUGUCCGGAUUUACUGGGCGUAAAGAGCGCGCAGGCGGCCAAGUCAGUCGAAUGUGAAAGCCCCCGGCUUAACUGGGGAGGGUCAUUCGAUACUGCUAGGCUCGAAGACAGGAGAGGGAAGUGGAAUUCCCGGUGUAGUGGUGAAAUGCGUAGAUAUCGGGAGGAACACCAGUGGCGAAGGCGACUUUCUGGCCUGUUCUUGACGCUGAGGCGCGAAAGCUAGGGGAGCAAACGGG
rnacentral:rRNA from 1 species